UCCAGCGGAAGUCAGCUGUGCAGGCCUUUUCCAUGCCUGAGCUAGUGUUACUCUGCUGGUAGAGAAAGGCACUGCCGUUUGUGCUUCAUCAGCUUUUGCUGUUUUAGUGAAUCUUGAUGUUUUGCACUGGUCAGUCCAUGCCUUCUGAGAGUGGACUGUGCUCAAAAAAUGGGGCAGCCCUAGACUUAAGGUGAACAGU